UUGAAUGUAUUGUCUAUGCCAGCCCUUGUGUAAGGCAAUGGGGAGUACACAUGUGACUAAAACACAGAUCUAUUUCUUGAUAAGGAGAUGUGAGUGUUUCAUCUAAUGCAAGCUAUGGGAUGUGUAAAAGAAGGAAGAGCAUGAAAGUCUGAUAGAUGGUAUGUGUAGUGAAGGAUGAAGUGGUGGAGAGAAGAAAAAGAAAAACCUUGUGUUAAAAAGAAGAAAUUAAAUAUUAGAGGGAUAUAUUAAGAGAAGACAUUUUAUGUCUAACAGGAGGGAAAAAGUGGAGGAAAAAAGCAAGAAUAAUGGAAAUCAUCACGGACUGGGAUCAAUGAUGAGUAAAUGAGGCAGUGAGGUGGUCCAUGGAAGUCUGAAGGAAAUGCUGAGGCUCUGGACUGAGCAAACACUGAGUUUCCUGCUGCUGCAGAGAGCUGUGAGCAUGGGCAUAGAACCAUGUUUCCAAACAAGGGGAGCGGGACAGCGCAGCAGCAGUGGCCAGGGCCAAACUGCCAGGGACAGCAUGGGAAUGUGCACACCUCGGGCAGACGAGGAGAGCUGAGCAACGGACAGUUCCAACUAUGUCUAAAAUCACAGCUGCCUCCAAUCUCCAUGUGUUUACAGGCGGUCCAGUACCUUCCGUCCACACCUUGAGAUCGCUGCAUAUGCCCACUGGAACUAGAGACUGGAUAUCUAAAAAGUGAUGCUUGACUUGCUGUGAAUUCUUUGUAACUCGGGAGCUGCAAGUGUUGCUGGGAAGGAAACUGAACAGCACCGCUAGUAGCACUGUAA